UACAGAGGGGGCGAGCGUUGUUCGGAAUUACUGGGCGUAAAGCGCACGUAGGCGGCUUUUUAAGUCAGGGGUGAAAUCCCGGGGCUCAACCCCGGAACUGCCCUUGAAACUGGAGAGCUAGAAUCUUGGAGAGGCGAGUGGAAUUCCGAGUGUAGAGGUGAAAUUCGUAGAUAUUCGGAAGAACACCAGUGGCGAAGGCGACUCGCUGGACAAGUAUUGACGCUGAGGUGCGAAAGCGUGGGGAGCAAACAGG
rnacentral:rRNA from 1 species